AUGACAGGAAGCCAAGAGGACUUUGCACUGACUGGAAGUACAAGGCUUGGAAACGAGGGCUCUUUGGUGCUCCCUGAGCUUGCUUAUUGCCUUGCAGAUUUUUCAUUACCCAAUCUAAGUAAUAUCAUCGGUGCUACCCUCUUGGAAAUGCCAUAUCCCCCGUCUGGUGCACUCUCCAAAAGGUUCCCUGGAGCAGCUUCGCUACACUUCCGCUUGGUGCAACGCCUGCCUGCUUCCCUCCAGGGACACGCCACACUUCCUCUGGCUGCCCCUCGCCUCCCCUUACCCCUUUCGUAUCCCCCCCUUCUAAUCCAAGGAGACGAGCAUCGAGGUCGCCUCCCUUUGUCUCAAAGGCAGACGCUGCCUUUGCAGCCGGAGAAGAAGAAGAGGAAUCCCUGCAGUUCCAGGAAAUGCACUAGGUUUUGCCACAUUUUUCCCUUGUUGCAAUCUAAAGAAAAGCUUGCAUGAAGAGCUCAUGAACAAUCUAAGGCAGGGGUCCCCAACCCCUGGCCAAGGGACCUGUAUCAGUCCAUGGCAUGCCAGAGACUGGGCCGCACAAACAAGCGAAGCCCCAUCCGUGGGAUCCAGGCAACAUGCAAAGCCAUGCCUCCUCUGGUCCGUGGAAAAACCUCUCCCCGGUGCCCAAAAGGUUAGGAGCUGCUAGUCUGAAGUAAAACUUGUAGUUCAGGAGGGUUUGAACUGAGGUCAGUGCUUGGUACAGAAGAUGAGCAAGCUUUGCCCAUAUUUUUCUGGCUGAGUGGGAGUCAUAAUUAGAGGAAAAUGAAAAUAUCCCAUGGACACAGGCUAAUGUAGUUGCUGUUUCUGCACUACAGGUAGUCCUUGACUUAAAACAUUAUUAAGCUUUAAGCAGUUAUGGUGGUAAGACCUGCUGGUUGUUAAGCAGCACAUCAAGUGACCACAAUCAAUUUUACAACCUUUUUUGCAGAGACUGUUAAAUGCAACAGUUGUUCCUAUAAUCCAGCAUUUUUGCUGGAAACCAAAUGUAAAUGCUGGUUUCUGACAAAAACACAAAACACAGUCAUGUGACAGCUGGUACUGAGCACCAUAAAUGUCAUGUGACUGCAAAGGUGCGGCUGUUGAAACUUCAAAUCUAGGUCAUAAGUACCUUUUUUGAGGUUUGUGGUAAUGUUGAUUGCUAAGCUACCCGUCAUAAGUUGAGGACUACCUGUACAGGCAGCCCUCAGCUUACAACAGUUUAGUGACCUAUUGAAGUGACAAUGGCACUGAAAAAAGAGACAUAUGGCUGUUUUUCACAUUUACGACCAUUGCAGCAUCCCCAGGGUCAUGUGAUGAAAAUUCAGAUACUUGGCAACUGACUCAGAUCUAUGAUGGUCACACUGUCCCAGGGUCAUGUGAUCCCCUUUUGCGACCUGACAAGCAAAGUCAAUGGGGAAGCCAGAUUCACUUAACAACUGUGUAACUAACUCAACAACUGCAGUGGUUCUGUUGUGGCCUGCCAGCUGCCAGCAGAGCUGGCGGCAGACUCAGACAGUGAGGAGGUUGGGGAGGAACUUGGGCCAGUCCUGGAGUCUGGGGAAGGCUCUGAUGGGCGCUCUGCGUCGGAGGCAGAGAUGGGGCCAGGACCAUCCAACAUUUAUCAGCUGCCUUCGGAGUUGGUGGUAAGUGGGGAAGAAGAACAGCUGAAGCCUGUUCCAGAUGUGCGCAUGUGCAGAGCUGCCAGGAGAAGGGAACAACUAAGGAACGGGUUGACUCGGUGGAAAAGGCACAAGUGGAUGCUGAAUGGCCCCUCCCAUAGGGAAUAAAUAGGAACAAAUGAGGAGGGGUGUUUGCAGGAGACAGUUCGCUUAAUUAUUGUGAAGAUUUGCUUAUCUGAGUUCAUGCCUCACAGAGACUCCUUGCCAGGUAUUUCAUUUUACAGUGUUGCAACUGGAAGCUCUCGGCCUGGCAACUAUCCAAAGACUGAUAAGAUCUGUUUGUGCAAUUAAACCUUGGAAGGCUUAUUGCCGGAACUUUUCUGGGUGUGAAUGUCAGGAAUUCACAUUAACCAAAUAAAAAAGGUUUUUUGGGGGGGGACAAGGAGUCUGUUUCGUGAUUCUGUUAAGCCUGGGUCAGAACAGGUUCACUUAACAACUGUGGCAAGAAAAGUUGUAAGAUGGGGUAAAAUUCACGUAAC
rnacentral:lncRNA from 1 species